GAGCUACCGCGCGACAUGUCCAGUAAUGUUGAAACAUGACGUUUACAGGAUUCUGCGCUGUCGCAUCGAGUACGGGCCUCAACGCCAAAUUGACAUUGCGGUCGAUGACCUCUGCAAACGGGUUGCGCAGGCUUGCGCGGACGAUUUGGAGCAUCAGUGGCGCGUUAAUCGAGACACGCCGCGGUUAGGCCAUAUCUGGACAAGCUUGCAGUUGCUGAGUCCGUCGCCU
rnacentral:misc_RNA from 1 species